GCGCCCUCGGUCACUUGGCGCGGGCUGCACCCGCUAGCCUUGCAGGAUUUCCUGGAAACACAGAUUUAAGUGUAGGUUUAUGGGCGUAGCCCUGUGAAGCCAGCAAGAUGGAACAGAGAUGGUGAAAUACUGAUACAGUCUCAACAGAGCUUCAGCCUGGGGAGCAGGAAUCCCUAAACUUGAGAUGGCCCUGAAGAGAUGCCUCAAAUGAAGAGGACCCAGGUUCAAUUCCCAGCAACCCCAU